AUACGUAGGGAGCGAGCGUUGUCCGGAAUUACUGGGUGUAAAGGGAGCGUAGGCGGGAUCGCCAGUCAGAUGUGAAAUACAUGGGCUUAACCCAUGGGCUGCAUUUGAAACUGUGGUUCUUGAGUGACGUAGAGGUAAGCGGAAUUCCUGGUGUAGCGGUGAAAUGCCUAGUUAUCAGGAGGAACACCGUUGGCGAUGGCGACGUACUGGGCCAUCACUGACGCUAAGGUUCGAAAGCGUGGGGAUAAAACAGGAUUAUAUGCCCCGGUAGUCCACACGGUAAACGAGAAUUCCUAGGUGGCGGUGGACUCACCCCGUCUGCGCCUCAGUCAACACAAUAAGCAUUCCGCCUGGGGAGUACGGCCGCAAGGUUGAAACUCAAAGGAAUGGACGGGG
rnacentral:rRNA from 1 species